rnacentral:sRNA from 1 species
GCUGUGGGCCUGGCCCUGCUGAAGCGCUGCGUGCUCAUGUACGGGUCCCUGCCAUCCUUCCACGCCAUCACGGGGCCUCUCCGAGCCCUCCUCACGGAUCACCUGGCGGACUGCAGCCACCCGCAGGAGCUCCAGGAGCUGUGUCAGAGCACACUGACCGAAAUGGAAAGCCAGAAGCAGCUCUGCCGGCCGCUGACCUGUGAGAAGAGCAAGCCUGUCCCACUGAAGCUUUUCACACCCCGGCUGGUCAAAGUCCUCGAGUUUGGAAGAAAACAAGGCAGUAGUAAGGAGGAACAGGAAAGGAAGAGGCUGGUCUCGAAUUCCCGACCUCAGGUAAUCCACCUGCCUUGGCCCCCCAAUUAUAGGUGUGAGCCACAGCACCCAGCCAAAAAAGUAAUUUUUUUUAGAGUAAUAAUGCUAUAAUGUUGGUGUGAUUCCAGCCUCCAGCUCCCCCCGCCCGCUGCCUGCGGUUUUGUUUCUGUUAAAACAUCACCUGAUGAAAUAGAAUGAAUCCUGAAAUGCACCUCUGGGAUCGGGAAUGGUCUGUGUGUUGUCAGCUGCGACUGGUUCACUGCGUCUGGACAAGCCUCAUGGGGACUGGGGAUUCUGGCCAGUGUAAUUUCUGUCAACCACGGACGUUUGCCUUCAUGUGUAGAAUUUACUGUUGUUAUGCAAAUUAUAUUUUCAAUUAUAAAUGAAACAA